rnacentral:tRNA from 1 species
GCCCUCGUAGUUCAAUGGAUAGAACAUCUCACUCCUAACGAGAUGAUGGAGGUUCGAUUCCCCCCGAGGGCACUA